GGAUGUGAGGGCGAUCUGGCUGUGACAUCUGUCACCCCAUUGAUGGCCAGCCAGGGUUGAUUUGACUGAUCUGGCUGCCUAGGCGGGCAUUGCCUCCCUCCCUCACCACACCGUGUACAUGCCUCCCCAAGAUGUGAAGACAACCUUUCCUGGAUAGAGGAGGACAAACGGUCUUCAUUCAAUGGUAUAAGAGUAGAUGUGCUCCCCUGCUAAACCUGCAAAUAAGCUCCAGUGUCAUCUUAAAAAUGUAUUUUCAUAAAUACUGAGUUGAGCAAGAAAGUCAAACAGCCGAGUUUUUGUAAAUAUAUUAUGGAAGCUAAUAGUGGUCCUUGAAU
ensembl:misc_RNA 7SK 7SK RNA